UAAAUACUCCCUCUGUUCCAACUUACCUGUCGAAACAAUGGAUGUAUCUAGAACUAAAAUACGUCUAGAUACAUCCAUUUCUUCGACAAGUAAUUCCGGUCGGAGGGAGUAUUCC
rfam:Triticum aestivum genome assembly, contig: Triticum_aestivum_CS42_TGACv1_scaffold_501274_6BL